rnacentral:rRNA from 1 species
GAUGAACGCUAGCUACAGGCUUAACACAUGCAAGUCGGGGGGUAACGAGAGGGAAGCUUGCUUUCCUUGUCGACGACCGGCGCACGGGUGAGUAACGCGUAUCCAACCUGCCCCCAACUAGGGAAUAACCUUGCGAAAGUAAGACUAAUACCCUAUAAUUUCCUCAGAUGACAUCUGACGAGGAAUAAAGAUUUAUCGGUUGUGGAUGGGGAUGCGUCUGAUUAGCUUGUUGGCGGGGUAACGGCCCACCAAGGCAACGAUCAGUAGGGGUUCUGAGAGGAAGGUCCACCACAUUGGAACCUAGACACGGUCCAAAAUCCUACGGGAGGCAGCAGUGAGGAAUAUUGGUCAAUGGGCGGAAGCCUGAACCAGCCAAGUAGCGUGCAGGAUGACGGCCCUAUGGGUUGUAAACUGCUUUUAUACAGGAAUAAAGUUAGCCACGUGUGGUUAUUUGUAGGUACUGUAUGAAUAAGGACCGGCUAAUUCCGUGCCAGCCGCCGCGGUAA